rnacentral:rRNA from 1 species
CAGCCGCCGCGGGAAUACAGAGGGUGCGAGCGUUAAUCGGAUUUACUGGGCGUAAAGCGUGCGUAGGCGGCUUCUUAAGUCGGAUGUGAAAUCCCUGAGCUUAACUUAGGAAUUGCAUUCGAUACUGGGAAGCUAGAGUAUGGGAGAGGAUGGUAGAAUUCCAGGUGUAGCGGUGAAAUGCGUAGAGAUCUGGAGGAAUACCGAUGGCGAAGGCAGCCAUCUGGCCUAAUACUGACGCUGAGGUACGAAAGCGUGGGGAGCAAACAGGAUUAGAGACCCCAGUGUCCCUGUCUCUUAUACA